UCCAAUCUGCUUGCAGAUUGUUCCACAACUUCUCUUGAACAGUCAUAUGUUUCAGCUAAGAACUCAGGCAAGGAUAGCAUUUGAUCUAAGUGUGUCCGAAGAAAUAAUCUCCUCACUGAUCCAACGCUUGCUUCUGUCGCUCGCAUUUCUGACUUAAAGAAAUGAUUCAAGCCGGGUCGGUGUGUAUGAAGGACAGAGACAGAUGAUGGAGCAAUGUGUUAU